UACAGAGGCCUCGAGCGUUAGGCGGAAUCACUGGGCUUAAAGCGUGUGUAGGCGGAUGUCUAAGUGCUUUGUGAAAUCCCACGGCUCAACCGUGGAAUUGCUUGGCAUACUGGAUGUCUUGAGCCAUCUAGGGGCGAGCGGAACAAGUGGUGGAGCGGUGAAAUGCGUAGAUAUCACUUGGAACGCCAACGGUGAAAACAGCUCGCUGGGGAUGUGCUGACGCUGAGACACGAAAGCCAGGGGAGCAAACGGG
rnacentral:rRNA from 1 species